rnacentral:lncRNA from 1 species
UGAGAACUCAAUUUCCUGCCAGUGUGGGGUUAUGGGCCAUGAGGCAUGAGAAACAUGCAGAUCAGUGUCUCCUACGCGGUGGCAUUGUGAUAGGCUGGCUGCUGUUACAGUAUCAUUAUUAUUAAUAUUUGACCCAACCCACAAGGCUUCAGAGAGAGCUCAGUGAGGUGGUAAUGGGGGAGCCGCCCAAGGCCAACAGAGUGUUUGUGGUAGAAUCUGGUCCACCGAGAGGAACAGUUUGUCAUCAAGGAUUCAUUUGCUCUGUGCCCAGAAUCUGUUGCCAUCCAGACCCUGCUGAAGUCUAUGCUCAAGGAGCAGCCAUGGCCAGCACUUCAAGUGUGGCCAUCUAUACCUGCACCAGACGGUCUGUUAAUUAGUGCUGGAGUGUCAGAAGUCAUCGCUUUUCAGUGAAAAGAGUGUCGCUGAAGAUGUGUGCUUGGCAAGCAAUACCACACAGGCAUCUCCGCCGGUGCCUAAAGGAGGCCUGCACCCCAGCAGAGCAGAGCCCUGGGUCCAUACCUGCCUCUAAUCGGCCCUGGGCGUCCCCACGCAAUGAUCUGACUGGAAGGUUGGCCAGUCCUUGGUCAACAUGCCCUUGAAUUGACCCAGAGAGAGCUUUCCUGCGAAGGAUGGAGAAUGGGGCUCCCCGGGGCACCUGGGCAGUGGUGGGAGGUCUUUUUUUGUGCUUCUUUGGAAGAGAUGCUGUAAGUGGGGUAGCAUUGAUUUCAUGGUAACAUGCCAGCUGGCGAGGAGGUAUGGGGUGAGCCUACUGUCCUCACCUACCUCUGGGCCUCGGAGGCCACCAUAUCCACGGCAGAGAACCUGACCUGCCCUGUCGGGCACCCUGGGAGGGGCUGCCCAGUCAAGGGAGCAGCUGUGCAAACUGGCAGUGGAGGAGCCCCUACAGGCAGACUCUGCCCCCCCAGUUCCAGGGGAAGACAUUUCCUGGGGGUGGGCCCUCCCUUUAAUAGGUGAGAGGAAAAGAAGGAGGCCAAGAAGGAGAGAGCAGAGAGG